GACGAACGCUGGCGGCGUGCUUAACACAUGCAAGUCGAACGGUGAAGGGGAGCUUGCUCCCUGGAUCAGUGGCGAACGGGUGAGUAACACGUGGGCAACCUGCCCCUGACUUCGGGAUAACGCUUCGAAAGAGGUGCUAAUACCGGAUAUGAACCCUGAGGGCAUCCUCGGGGUUGGAAAGUUUUUCGGUCAGGGAUGGGCCCGCGGCCUAUCAGCUUGUUGGUGAGGUAGUGGCUCACCAAGGCGACGACGGGUAGCCGGCCUGAGAGGGCGACCGGCCAAACUGGGACUGAGACACGGCCAGAAUCCUACGGGAGGCAGCAGUGGGGAAUAUUGCGCAAUGGGCGAAAGCCUGACGCAGCAACGCCGCGUGAGGGAUGAAGGCCUUCGGGUUGUAAACCUCUUUCAGCAGGGAAGAAGCGAAAGUGACGGUACCUGCAGAAGAAGCACCGGCUAACUACGUGCCAGCCGCCGCGGUAA
rnacentral:rRNA from 1 species